UGACGCAGUCAGCUGUCUUGGUCAGCACCCCAGCCCAGGUGUGAAUCAACACUGGCACACUAUAUCAAAAUUCAGGAUGGUGGCUGAAGCUCUGACAUCUCCUAUGUAAACACCUAAAUGCCAAGUCUGGACUUCAAAAACAGAUUCUGAAAGUUUAACCAGCAUUAUGGACAAAAAGUAUACACUUCGAACAGACACAAAAACAUAUAGGUCCAUGCCAAGCUAUGAAAGAUUUAUGCUGAGGUGUAUAACAAUGUAGACUUAGUUUACCAAAUAAUUAAGAAAAUGUUGACAAAGCACCACAGCCCAGGAGUGAAUCAACACUG